UAGCUAGUUGGUGAGGUAACGGCUUACCAAGGCGACGAUCUGUAGCGGGUCUGAGAGGAUGAUCCGCCACACUGGAACUGAGACACGGUCCAGACUCCUACGGGAGGCAGCAGUGGGGAAUUUUGGACAAUGGGGGCAACCCUGAUCCAGCCAUGCCGCGUGAGUGAAGAAGGCCUUCGGGUUGUAAAGCUCUUUCGGCCGGGAAGAAAUCGCAUGGGCCAAUACCCUGUGUGGAUGACGGUACCGGAAUAAGAAGCACCGGCUAACUACGUGCCAGCAGCCGCGGUAAUACGUAGGGUGCGAGCGUUAAUCGGAAUUACUGGGCGUAAAGCGUGCGCAGGCGGUUUUGUAAGACAGGCGUGAAAUCCCCGGGCUCAACCUGGGAACUGCGUUUGUGACUGCAAGGCUAGAGUACGGCAGAGGGGGGUGGAAUUCCACGUGUAGCAGUGAAAUGCGUAGAGAUGUGGAGGAACACCAAUGGCGAAGGCAGCCCCCUGGGUCGAUACUGACGCUCAUGCACGAAAGCGUGGGUAGCAAACAGGAUUAGAUACCCUGGUAGUCCACGCCCUAAACUAUGUCAACUAGGUGUUGGGUGGGUAAAACCAUUUAGUACCGUAGCUAACGCGUGAAGUUGACCGCCCGGGGAGUACGGCCGCAAGGUUAAAACUCAAAGGAAUUGACGGGGACCCGCACAAGCGGUGGAUGAUGUGGAUUAAUUCGAUGCAACGCGAAAAACCUUACCUACCCUUGACAUGCCAGGAACUUGCCAGAGAUGGCUUGGUGCCCGAAAGGGAGCCUGGACACAGGUGCUGCAUGGCUGUCGUCAGCUCGUGUCGUGAGAUGUUGGGUUAAGUCCCGCAACGAGCGCAACCCUUGUCGUUAAUUGCCAUCAUUUAGUUGGGCACUUUAGCGAGACUGCCGGUGACAAACCGGAGGAAGGUGGGGAUGACGUCAAGUCCUCAUGGCCCUUAUGGGUAGGGCUUCACACGUCACACAAUGGUCGGUACAGAGGGUCGCCAAGCCGCGAGGUGGAGCCAAUCCCAGAAAGCCGAUCGUAGUCCGGAUUGCAGGCUGCAACUCGCCUGCAUGAAGUCGGAAUCGCUAGUAAUCGUGGAUCAGCAUGUCACGGUGAAUACGUUCCCGGGUCUUGUACACACCGCCCGUCACACCAUGGGAGCGGGUUCCGCCAGAAGUAGGUAGCCUAACCGCAAGGAGGGCGCUUACCACGGCGGGGUUCGUGACUGGGGUGAAGUCGGAACAAGGUAGCCGUAGGGGAACCUGCGGCUG
rnacentral:rRNA from 1 species